UGAGGAAUAUUGGUCAAUGGGCGCAAGCCUGAACCAGCCAAGUCGCGUGAGGGAAGACGGUCCUAUGGAUUGUAAACCUCUUUUGUCGGGGAGCAAAGCGCGGUACGAGUACCGCGAAGGAGAGUACCCGAAGAAAAAGCAUCGGCUAACUCCGUGCCAGCAGCCGCGGUAAUACGGAGGAUGCGAGCGUUAUCCGGAUUUAUUGGGUUUAAAGGGUGCGUAGGCGGAUUUGUAAGUCAGCGGUAAAAAUGCGGUGCUCAACGCCGUAUCGCCGUUGAAACUGCGGGUCUUGAGUGAGCGAGAAGUAUGCGGAAUGCGUGGUGUAGCGGUGAAAUGCAUAGAUAUCACGCAGAACUCCGAUUGCGAAGGCAGCAUACCGGCGCUCAACUGACGCUGAGGC
rnacentral:rRNA from 1 species